rnacentral:rRNA from 1 species
UGGGGAAUAUUGCACAAUGGGCGCAAGCCUGAUGCAGCGACGCCGCGUGGGGGAUGACGGCCUUCGGGUUGUAAACUCCUUUCGCUAGGGACGAAGAGAAAUUGACGGUACCUGGAUAAGAAGCACCGGCUAACUACGUGCCAGCAGCCGCGGUAAUACGUAGGGUGCGAGCGUUGUCCGGAAUUACUGGGCGUAAAGAGCUCGUAGGUGGUUUGUCGCGUCGUCUGUGAAAUUCCGGGGCUUAACUCCGGGCGUGCAGGCGAUACGGGCAUAACUUGAGUGCUGUAGGGGAGACUGGAAUUCCUGGUGUAGCGGUGAUAUGCGCAGAUAUCAGGAGGAACACCAAUGGCGAAGGCAGGUCUCUGGGCAGUAACUGACGCUGAGGAGCGAAAGCAUGGGUAGCGAACAGG